GGAAGCGUGGCAGAGCGGACGAAUGCACCGGUUUCGAAAACCGGAAGCCGCGCAAGCGGCUCGGAGGUUCGAAUCCUCCCGCUUCCGCCA
rnacentral:tRNA from 2 species